GGUUGGAUGGUGUAGUGGUAACACCUCUCAGUGCAUAUGGGAUGACCUAGGUUCAAUCUCUGGUCUGACCA
rnacentral:tRNA from 1 species